CGACCUGGCUUACACCGGUUUAAACUCAGAUCAUGUAAAAUUUUAAAGGUCGAACAGACCUAAUUUACCAGCUACUGCACCAGUAAUUAAUUUUAAUCCAACAUCGAGGUCGCAAUCUAUUCUUUCGAUAUGAACUCUAAGAAAAAUUACGCUGUUAUCCCUAAGGUAAUUUAUUCUUAUAAUCUAAAUUAUAGGAUCAUAAACUUACAUAUUAGUAUAAAAAUAAAGAAAAGUUAAAUUAAUUUUCCCAUCACCCCAAUAAAAUAAAUAAAAAAUAAUAAAGUCACAACAUACUUAAACACCAUAUUAAACUUAUUUAUAAAACUCUAUAGGGUCUUCUCGACUUCUAUAAGCAUUUAAGCUUUUUCACUUAAAAAUAAAAUUCUAAUAAACUUUUCCAGAGACAGCCAUUUUUUCAUCAAACCCUUCAUACAAGCWUUCAAUUAAAAAACUAGUGAUUAUGCUACCWUUGCACGGUCAAAAUACCGCGGCCAUUUAAUCCAUCCAGUGGGCC
rnacentral:rRNA from 1 species